AUUAAUUAGGUUAGGGAAAAAAAUUAUCCGUAACAAGAUAUCGAGGCUCGUGAAAGAUUUAAAGUGCAGGAAGUGUCUUUGAUCGCAUAAUUACAUAUAAUUGCGGGCUCGCAUGUGUAUGCACCACGAGGUCGCACGCGCUGAGCUGACAUAACCUCACUCUCGGACAUACGCUUGUCUCGCUUUCACCCCCCUUCCCCUCACGAGGUCUGCAGAAAAGGCGUACACAGAAGAAAAAGAGAGAGAGAAAAGAAAACUCGUCGACUAGAACAAAGUGCAUAGUGCAAUAUAGGAAGAAAGCACCAGAGUGCAGUGCAAGGCCGCAUUCAUGUCAUUCCUCAGGUGCUGAGCACGUAGAGCACAGGAGGGUGGGCCAGAGAUCGAGGGCCAGUGUGCUGGUGCUCUCUAUCAUCAACUCCUCGUUCUCCUCUCCUCCUCACAUCCCAGUGCGCGUUAUCGCGUAACAUUCUUCUCCUCGGCGAAGAUGGCGGCCAAGGUGGCGAGCAGUGCUGCUGCCAAUAGCGUGCAGCAACAGCCGGCAUCCACAAAGCAGCAGCAACAUCCGAGUGUCGUUGUUGCGAAGGAGGAAAAGCCGGCAUCAUUAACAGUUACAACGGUAGCCGGCUUGUCGUAUGCCCGUGUACUCAAUCCUAAGGCUGCCAGCGAAGCGUCCGUUGCUGCUGCACCGAUGACAAGCAACAACGGCAACACGACGACGACGACGUUGUCUACGUCUACAACAAUACCUUCGUCAUCAAUCUCGCAAAAUUCCGGUUGUGCAAAGGAAAAUAAUAAAGAAAAUAUUGGUGGACAAGUUUCUGCACAGAACGCUUCAGAAAUUAGAGGCAAGCCCUUCAAAAAAUCAAGUCACAGAUUCGAAACUCACAGAUAUAUACCUACAGAGCGAAGACUGUACGGUAAUUACGUAAGACACAAUCACUCAGCUCCUAUGGAAGCUAAAGUUGUACAUACAGAUCAUUCCGUUGAAACUGCGAAAGAGGCAACUGAAGAGAUUGUCCAAAACGGGAACUUAAACGGUACUGAUGACGAAUUUCAAACUGUUGCUCCCAAAAGUGCCAGAAGAAAGGAAAAGUUGAAGGAACUCCGAGAGCAUGCUGAGUCUCAACACUUUCGUUUCAGGGACAGACAAAAACUGCAUGUCCGCAGAGUAGAAAGUAACGAAAGACCACGAGGUAGGAGAAUAGAAAGUAACGAGAGAGUACAUGGCAAACGAGUCGAAAGCAAUGAACGAUUGCUUAAAGAAAAGGAACACAUCAAAGAUGGUCCUAAAGAAAAAGAAAAGGACAAAGACAGGGAUAAGGAUAAGGUUUCCGAAGCCAACAACGAGGAAGUUGAAGCUCAACCAAUAAAAUAUAUUGAAGCUCCUCUGCCUGCUGUUAAUCCUUGGAACAAGGGCAAAGUUAGUGCACCUCAAUCUCGAGUUAUCCCUCCAACUCCUUCUGUGCCAGUAGCAGCUCCAGUUCCGUUGACACCGAAAGUAGCCCCGGUAGUUUCAGAAAAAUCGGUCGAAAAGGAAAAAAGAGUGUUACAGCCUCAACAGCAACAGCAAAAGAAUAAAAUUGAAAAUGGAAUAAGCAACAACGCGCACCCGACGAUCGUGAGAGCUCCCAAAGACCGACGAAAGUACAACCAAAAGGCGAGCGACUUCUCGGAUAUCGGCGACUGGCCGACUUUGGGUGCUCAAGGCGAGCAACCAAAGAAGGCGAUAGCGAAUUCCGCCCCAAAGCAAAAUGGCGUCGUUGAGAAUCCGAGUGAAGCUAAAGAGAGCCUCGUUCCAGUCGCUCCUGAAGUUAAAGGCAAAGAGAACAAGGAGCAAAACAACCACUGCCACGAGGAGAGUGACGAAAACGCCGAUAAGAGGAGAAAAAGUCAAACUAACAAGCAAAAGUGGGUUCCUCUCGAAAUCGAUAUGACCAAAAAUCGCGGAAAAAGGGACCGCUCUCCUAAACAUAGUUCUCAAAGGGACAAAAAUGACAGCCGGCGCAAUGAGGAUGAAAAUUGGAGAGAUCGCGAGUACGAUAGAUCGAAUUACAACAGUAACUAUCGCAGCAGUCGCGGUAGCAGAGGUGGUGCAAGUUACCGGGGCAGAGGCCGUGGAGGUCGCGGAAGCGUGUCGCGCACCAGCAACUAUAUUCGUCAGAGAAAUCACGAUUACCCGGCAUAUUCUACUGACUUUCCGACUCAGGUGAUUAUAACUCAGUCGAACAAGUUUAGUCCAGCAGAUCCAUCGUACAUGAUGCCUUUCAUGGGGACGUUUUACUAUAACAAUUCGAAUUUCUUGAAUUUAGAUAAUACGACAGUUAAGGAAUAUAUAAGGAAGCAAAUUGAAUAUUACUUUAGUGAAGAAAAUUUGAUGCGAGACUUUUUCCUGAGACGAAAAAUGGACGCAGAUGGUUUCCUGCCGAUAACUCUGAUUGCUUCCUUCCAUCGCGUGCAAGCUUUGAGCACGAAUGUUUCUCUAGUCAUAGAGGCUAUUACCGAGUCAGAUAAACUAGAAAUAGUUGAUGGUUUUAAGGUGCGCACAAGAUUCGACCCGUUAAUAUGGCCCAUCCUCGAUAAUGGUAACCCAAUCAACUCCGGCUCCUCCGAUGUCUCGUCCACCUCGCCCAACGAAAUAUCGUAUCCCCAUUUCACGCAACCACCCGAGUUCCAGCCAGCUGCCAAGCCUCUGACGGCUAUUCCUGCACCGCCCGUGCCGACUCUGCUACACCCCGUUCCCCCUGUAAACGGCGACGAGCUGCGUCUCAGCGAAUCCGAGAGCAUCACGUCAUCGAUCGCCGACACUCUCAAUCCAGAAGUGCCAGAGUUCAUUCCAGUCGUACUCACUGCCAAUAAACAAGUACAAGAUACGACAGUUAACAGUAUCCAAAAUACCGAAAAGAAAUACGAAGAAACUAUAAAUGAAAAAGCGGAAAUUAGUGAUAAGGAUGUAGAAGAGAAAAAGUUAAACAGCAUUGAAAAUAAAGCAUCGGGUGACAUUGAGAUGGAGAACAAAAAAAAACACGAGGAGGCUAAAGUAGUGAACGAAUGGCACGAGGUUAAGAAGAAGAAGUCAGCUUCAAAAGAGAAAGAAAAAAUUAUGAAUGGCAAUAAAAUAUCAAAUCAUGUUGGUCACGAAAAAGAAGAGUUAGACUUCCAAUUCGAUGAGGAAUUGGAUGCUCCACCUACUGGACGCCACAACACAUUUUCCGAGUGGGAUGAAGAUGACGAUAACGAAUUUACCGAUAAAGACAUUAACAAGCUAUUGAUUGUUACGCAAACAACGUCGACGAGAAUUCCAAAGCACGAUGGACAUGACCGUACUGGUGACUGGACCAGUCGAACAAAAAUGACGCAGGAUCUUGUGCAAGCUAUCAACGACGGCUUGUAUUAUUACGAAGAAGAUCUGUGGGGAGAUGAUCAACGGUACAGUUUAUCGUCAUCCGGCACAAAGUACAAAACCAUCAGCGUUAUCAGCAAAGAGGAUUUUGACAAGUUGGCUCCAAAAGCACCACGCAAGGCAAAUCCCGAAGUACCUCCUCCUCCCCCAGCUCGACUGGAUGGUGAAGACAAACUACCAACCGAGCCAAAGAGCUCUUCGGCUCACGUUACAAUCGACGUGGCAUCCGAGAGGCCGGAGAAGAGGCGUCGUAACGACCGCACCCUCAAAAAUCACAGAGCCGUUCCGAGAUUCUUUGGCGUAGUCAAAGAUGAGCCGGCUGUCGAUUGUAUUACUCCGCGUAAACGCAAAACCCGUCACAGCAAUAAUCCACCAGUCGAGCAUCACGUCGGUUGGAUUAUGGAUGUUAAGGAGCACAGACCUAGAACAUACUCUACAGGUAGCAGUACAGGUUCGAGUCCGAAUGAAGGCUUUUUGUCAAGCAGCUACGGAAGUGCUCCUCAAUCAUUGCCCACUUUCCAACAUCCUAGUCAUGCUUUGUUGAAAGAAAACGGUUUUACUCAACAAGUAUACCACAAGUAUCAUUCGCGUUGUCUGAAAGAACGCAAAAGAUUGGGCAUUGGUCAGUCACAAGAAAUGAACACCAUUUUCCGCUUUUGGUCAUUCUUCUUAAGAGAAAAUUUCAAUCGUACCAUGUAUGAGGAAUUCAGAAGAGUCGCUCUCGAGGACGCUAGUGAGGGCUAUCGUUAUGGGCUCGAAUGCUUGUUCCGCUUCUAUAGCUACGGCUUGGAAAAGAAAUUCAGACCUCAAGUUUACAAGGACUUCCAAGUUGAAACAAUGAAUGAUUAUGAAAAUGGUCAACUCUACGGAUUAGAGAAAUUUUGGGCCUUCCUUAAGUAUUAUAAACAUGCUAGUAACCUCCCCGUCGAUCCCAAACUACAGGGAUUCCUCGAAAAGUUCAAGACCAUCGACGAUUUCAGAGUAUUGGAGCCAAAAAUCAGUGAGCUUAAGAGAUCACAGUUUGCCAAUCGUCGCAUCAGAAGCGUGUCGGAAAGUGCGAGCGGAGUCGAUUUCUCCGCUGGUAACCGCAUUCGGCGAUUAUCUGGUGGCUCUAGCCAAGUGACACUCCCACAAUCGCAGACACAACAAAAGCAGAGCGUCAAUCUGUCUCAGUAUGGACGCUAUAGAACUGAUUCCUUUGGAUCGGGUAGACUAGGCAAUUAUCGAAGACGCACCACCGAUUUUGUUGGGACUACUCCGGAGGAAGGUGCUAUUAGAAAUGGUGAACAAAAGUGAAAGUGGCUGGUGGUAAGACUUUAGACUCAGAAAAUUGCUUUUUAAAAAUUCUAAGCAUUCAUUAACAACCGCGUGUGCGAGUACCACGAUGCUACGAGCUGAGGCUAUACUCGUUUUCUUCAUUGAUACUGGAAGACGUUGAAAAAUCUUUUGAAAUAAUAAUGCUUGAGAUAAAGUGUCUGCUUCAUGACACAGUAAAUCUCGACAGCUCAAGCAAUGUAAUUGAUUGAAGACUAUUCAUAUUCAGGGGUAAAGAAAUCUUACUUGAUUGUUUUCAACAAAAACAAAAAUUAUAGUCUUCUGAACCAUAUCUGAAUGAUAUCAAUUACCUUUUAUUGCACUGUCUGCCAUUUUAUCGAUUUUUGGUCUGACAGAUAAAUGAGAAAUGGAAUUCCGAGCAUAAUUUAUCGGAUGAGAAAAUUGUACAUUGUUGGAAGAUGAACGAUGAAAAUUUUGGAUUUGACGUUCGGAUGGAGCACUAUUAUUAAUUAGAUGUGAACGAUUGAAAAUUAAUAUUACCAAUUUAUGCCUACAUUUGAUUUAGAUUGACAAGAUACACAUGUUUAAGCAAUAAAGAAUUGCGCGUUACAUGCUGCUACCCAAUGCAACUGGAUCCGUAUGAGCCUAAUUUUUGAUAAUUGCUCUUUGACUUUGCUUUAGAGCUAGCUUCAACAUUUUUAUACAAAUUAAGACGUGUAGUAUCAGACAAAUUUAUAGUGUUUUUGUUUCCUUUUUUUUUUUAACUGUUUGAUUCUAUUGACGUUCAAAUACGUACACACUUACACUUAUUGUCAUACAGUGAUAGCACACAUAUUUGCUUUGUUUGGGUAAAAAAAAGACGUAGCACGUUAUACAUUACUUGAAGUAAAUUUAAAAUCCCUCACAAAUCUUGUGUUGCACUGCCAUAUGCGUAAAUAGUGUAUGUAAUUAUAAGAAAAAAAGUACACUUUCCCUGUUUUUCAUCUUUUAUAAGAGAGAGAAGAUUGCUAAGUCUGAAACGUUUGAUCCCUUAACUCGAUUUACUCAAGGCACGAAUUGUGCUUUGAGAAUCGCCUUUGCGUAUUUCUUCACCAUCUUGAAUCAUAGACAAAGUUUUACAAAGACGCGAAAAUCGCUUGUUUGUUGUAAGAAAACAAGAUUCGACAAAAUUUGACAAAGUGUACAUAUAAUAUAUACAUUAAUAAAAAAAACUCAUUCACGGCGUAAAAUCAAUUGAUUAACCAAGUUGUUGCAUCUUGCUGUUGAUACUUGAAUUAGAUUGCAAACAAAAUUGCUGCUUAAACCACAGAAAAAUCAGGUAUUCCCGUAUAUCUAUCUUUAAUCACUGUAAAGUUCUGUAAAUAUGUACACUGAUUACUAUAUUUUUUAAGCAUAAUCAACUUAAAGUGAAUAAUGCAUAGAAAAAAGGUACUUUUCUGUUUGUAAAAAAAAUUGUAAAAUGAUAUUUUUAGUUUAAAACUGUAGCAUAAUAUAUAGUGUACAGUAUAAUAAUUUAAAUAUGUGUGGAGCAAAAAAUAAUUUUUUUUCUUUAAU
rnacentral:misc_RNA from 1 species